CAMUUUUCUGCCACCGAAUACAUUAGCAYGGGAUAAUGGAAUAGGACCCUGUUGAAAUUWCRGUUGGUUUUGGCAGCGCGAGGACUAGGGUAAUGAUUAAUAGGGAUAGUUGGGGGCAUUAAUAUUUAAUUGUCAGAGGUGAAAUUCUUGGAUUUAUGAAAGAUUAACUUCYGCGAAAGCAUCUGCCAAGGAUGUUUUCAUUAAUCAAGAACGAAAGUUAGGGGAUCGAAGACGAUCAGAUACCGUCGUAGUCUUAACCAUAAACGAUGCCGACCAGCGAUUAGGAGACGUUGAAUACAAAACACCACCAUCGGCGCGGUCGYCCUUGGCGUCYSGGUYCUUCMCSGGGCCSGGGGGCGGGUGAGGCUUAKGCCGCCGGYRCAGGAGAAUGCCUCCCCUUUGAGAUAGUGAGAA
rnacentral:rRNA from 1 species